rnacentral:rRNA from 1 species
CCUACGGGAGGCAGCAGUGGGGAAUAUUGGACAAUGGGGGGAACCCUGAUCCAGCCAGGCCGCGUGUGUGAAGAAGGCCCUCGGGUUGUAAAGCACUUUCAGUGAGGAAGAACGCCUGGUGGUUAAUACCCAUCAGGAAAGACAUCACUCACAGAAGAAGCACCGGCUAACUCCGUGCCAGCAGCCGCGGUAAUACGGAGGGUGCGAGCGUUAAUCGGAAUUACUGGGCGUAAAGCGCGCGUAGGUGGCUUGAUAAGCCGGUUGUGAAAGCCCCGGGCUCAACCUGGGAACGGCAUCCGGAACUGUCAAGCUAGAGUGCAGGAGAGGAAGGUAGAAUUCCCGGUGUAGCGGUGAAAUGCGUAGAGAUCGGGAGGAAUACCAGUGGCGAAGGCGGCCUUCUGGACUGACACUGACACUGAGGUGCGAAAGCGUGGGUAGCAAACAGGAUUAGAUACCCUAGUAGUC